rnacentral:rRNA from 1 species
UACGGAGGGUGCAAGCAUUAAUCGGAUUUAUUGGGCGUAAAGGGCGCGUAGGCGGAAAGGAAAGUCAGAUGUGAAAUCCCGGGGCUCAACCCCGGAACUGCAUUUGAAACUUCCAUUUCUAGAGGAUUGGCGGAGAAAACGGAAUUCCACAAGUAGCGGUGAAAUGCGUAGAUAUGUGGAAGAACACCAGUGGCGAAGGCGGUUUUCUAGCUUAUUCCUGACGCUGAGGCGCGAAAGCAAGGGGAUCAAACAGG